rnacentral:rRNA from 1 species
GACGUAGGGCGCGAGCGUUGUCCGGAUUUAUUGGGCGUAAAGAGCUCGUAGGCGGCUUGUUGCGUCAGCUGUGAAAAACCCGCAGCUCAACUGUGGGCUUGCAGCUGAUACGGGCAGGCUUGAGUUCGGUAGGGGAGACUGGAAUUCCUGGUGUAGCGGUGAAAUGCGCAGAUAUCAGGGGGAACACCGGUGGCGAAGGGCGGGUCUCUGGGGCCCGAUAC